AGUGAACGCUGGCGGUAGGCCUAACACAUGCAAGUCGAACGGCAGCACAGUAAGAGCUUGCUCUUACGGGUGGCGAGUGGCGGACGGGUGAGGAAUGCAUCGGAAUCUACUUUUUCGUGGGGGAUAACGUAGGGAAACUUACGCUAAUACCGCAUACGACCUACGGGUGAAAGCAGGGGAUCUUCGGACCUUGCGCGAUUGAAUGAGCCGAUGUCGGAUUAGCUAGUUGGCGGGGUAAAGGCCCACCAAGGCGACGAUCCGUAGCUGGUCUGAGAGGAUGAUCAGCCACACUGGAACUGAGACACGGUCCAGACUCAUACGGGAGGCAGCAGUGGGGAAUAUUGGACAAUGGGCGCGAGCCUGAUCCAGCCAUACCGCGUGGGUGAAGAAGGCCUGCGGGUUGUAAAGCCCUUUUGUUGGGAAAGAAAAGCAGCAGGUUAAUACCCCGCGGUUCUGACGGUACCCAAAGAAUAAGCACCGGCUAACUUCGUG
rnacentral:rRNA from 1 species